rnacentral:rRNA from 1 species
CCUACGGGAGGCAGCAGUGGGGAAUAUUGCACAAUGGGCGCAAGCCUGAUGCAGCAACGCCGCGUGAGGGACGAAGGCCUUCGGGUUGUAAACCUCUUUUAGUAGGGAAGAAGCGAAAGUGACGGUACCUGCAGAAAAAGCACCGGCUAACUACGUGCCAGCAGCCGCGGUAAUACGUAGGGUGCAAGCGUUGUCCGGAAUUAUUGGGCGUAAAGAGCUCGUAGGCGGUUUGUCGCGUCUGCUGUGAAAACCCGAGGCUCAACCUCGGGCCUGCAGUGGGUACGGGCAGACUAGAGUGCGGUAGGGGAGAUUGGAAUUCCUGGUGUAGCGGUGGAAUGCGCAGAUAUCAGGAGGAACACCGAUGGCGAAGGCAGAUCUCUGGGCCGUAACUGACGCUGAGGAGCGAAAGCAUGGGGAGCGAACAGGAUUAGAUACCCUGGUAGUCCAUGCCGUAAACGUUGGGAACUAGAUGUGGGGGCCGAUUCCACGGCUUCCGUGUCGCAGCUAACGCAUUAAAGUUCCCCGCCUGGGGAGUACGGCCGCAAGGCUAAAACUACAAAGGAAAUUGACGG